GCGGGUAUAGCUCAAUGGUAGAGCACCUGCCUUCCAAGCAGGCUAUGUCGGUUCGAUUCCGUCUACCCGCUCCA
rnacentral:tRNA from 2 species